CAAAAGUGGGCCACCAUUUUCGAUUUUGCAUAUUCGGGCCGGAUUUUUAGUAAACUGACCAAAAUACCCUGAUACAUUUUUCUCUCUCUUUUUUUUUCUUACGUUCUUUUUUUUUCUCACCGAAGAAGGCGACGGAGGCGAAGGUGGAAACGGCCCCCAUCGUCUCUGCCUCUCACGCCCUCGCCCUCGCCUGUGCACCCCUCGCCCUACUCGCCUCCGACCCUGCCGAGACCUCUUUUUUUUUUCUCUCUCCGACCCUCCUCCACCGCCUCCGCGGCCCACCGCGACGAUAACGAGGACGGUAACGCGUUCUGUUCCUCUUCCUUCGCCCUCCACCUCUACUACAACAGAUUUUGCACUAAAACCCACUUCUGGGAACCUGCAUUCCCACCAC
rnacentral:lncRNA from 1 species